AUUAGAUAAUACUUUCAUUUCCAUCUUGUCAUCUUUUUGUGCUGCUUAUUUCUGGUUUAUUUUUGGUUUUUACCUUCUACUUGCUUCUCAUCUAGUUUGUGAUUAAUAAUAAUUGUUUAAAGUAAUUGUACUUCCAUUAGCUGUUUUGUUUUGUGUUGAUUAAUUUUACGUUGACUCAUCGCCACCACCAACUAUUAAGCUAACAUGGCUGACAAAUUAUCUGCUGAUCUUGAAAAUUUGAAAGUUGCCAACGAGGUAACCAUUUUGGAAGAUCCAAUGAAUGAGAAUAUUGAGAAAUCGGAUAACCUAGAGUUACCGUCAACAUGUUUAGAUGUUUCUAUAAUGAGCUUACUUGUUUAUUUUCACGUUAUACAUUUUAACACUUUGUCUAAUUAUUUAGAGCAAAAGUGUAACAUUUGAUUCCAAUGGUAGCUAUUAUUAGACAAUUUUUUAUAAGUUAUUCUAAUUUUAGCUAAAAUUUUAAGAUGACAAUCAUCAAGGUGAAUUUAUUUCAGCUUAAGUAUACCAUGAUAGCCUGAUGACUCUUUAAAAUCUUGGUUAAUCUCUAAUGGCUCUCAACUCCUUUUACUGAUCAAGGCUCAACCUGAAAUCUUGUUGCUUUUGAGUGGAUUUAAUGGUUUUACCUAAUAUUUUGAAAGUAUUGAUCAUUGAUUGAUGAAUUUCCUUUGAAUGUAAUUGGCCUACAAUUUUGGACGAUGAAGAUGGACGCCUCAAAGAAGUCACAAGCACCACCAUAAAAACAAGCACCAUCAUGACCACGGUCAUGGACACACUCACGGUCACAAUCACGGACACCAUCAUCAUCAUGGUCAUCAUGGAGGACAUGAUGAAUGGAGUGAGCACUCACACUUAGGACAUCACAAACAUGGACACGGACAUGGACAUAAACAUCAUCAUUCAUUGAAACAUGAUCACGAUCAUGAACAUGGCCACAAGCAUAAGCAUGGACACAAACAUGGUCACAAGCAUGGACAUAAACAUGGACAUGGACAUGGACACAAGCAUGGCCACAAACAUAUCCACAGUAAAAAAGCAGGCAAAAGUGAUUCAGAUUAAAACGCAAUUGUUACUCUGGGUAACUUGCUAAACUUUGAGUUUGCUGCAAUCACAUGAAAUGCCAUUCAAUUUAAGCCAGGAGCUUAUUGUAUGAAUCAUUAUAUUCAAGAAUAAAUAAACUGAAUUGAUAAAUUAACAAA